CCUAGGGGCGCUGCAGUGGGGAAUACUGGACAAUGGGGGAAACCCUGAUCCAGCAAUGCCGCGUGUGUGAAGAAGGCCUGCGGGUUGUAAAGCACUUUCGGUUGGGAGGACUGCUUCUAGCACUAAUAUUGUUGGAAGUUGACGUUACCUUCAGAAGAAGCACCGGCUAACUCCGUGCCAGCAGCCGCGGUAAUACGGGGGGUGCAAGCGUUAAUCGGAAUUACUGGGCGUAAAGCGCGCGUAGGCGGCUAGAUCAGUCGGGUGUGAAAGCCCCGGGCUUAACCUGGGAACUGCAUCCGAUACUGUCUAGCUUGAGUACAGGAGAGGAGAGUGGAAUUCCACAUGUAGCGGUGAAAUGCGUAGAUAUGUGGAGGAACACCAAUGGCGAAGGCAGCUCUCUGGCCUGAUACUGACGCUGAGGUGCAAAAGCGUGGGGAGCAAACAGGAUUAGAUACCCGGGUAGUC
rnacentral:rRNA from 1 species